rnacentral:lncRNA from 1 species
GCCCCUGGAGAUCCAUUUAUGACGACACAAAAGAGCUCAGCGUCAGUCACGCAGUGUUUCUAGUCCAGUCCGGAAUGUGCAGCUCAGGGGAAAGGCUGCACUCCCCGAAAGUGCACGGGGUUUGCGACGUUAGCUAUGACUGAGAGACCACUCCAGACUGGAGGAGCGUGCAACAAGUCCCAGGACCAGAAAGGAAAACAAGCAUCCUUGAAAGCCGGAACAAUCUGAGAGGAAUCGGUGUAUCGGAUCCAUUGAACCAGCUGGGAGAGUAGGGCUCCGACUCUGAAGGGCUCAAAGCGACUAGGACCCAGCUCCUCUCCAAGUUGGCUUAGCUGUCCUCUGUCUGUUUCUCUCCUUCUCAACCCAUGAGUGAUAGCAAGAUGGGGAAAACUGGAUCUGUCCAUAAAAGUCAGGGGGGGCAUGAUGAAGUCUCACACCAUCUUACUGUGCACUGCCCAAGACUUGAAUCAUGGCUUUGUUCAGGGUAUCCGUACUGUAUGUGCUACCUGCCUGUUCAUCACUUAGUAUCCAUUUCAGUUACCACACCUACUGGCACAGUAUCCCAUCCUUGUGUUCAAGUCACCCUUAUUUUAUAUUAGAACAGCCCCAAUGCACAAGAAUAAGUGAUGCUGGCAACUGAGUUACCGUAUAUUGCUAUAAUUGUUCUAUUUAUUUAUUGUUGAUUUCUUACUGUGUCUAAUUUGUAAUUUAAACUCCAUGAAAAGUAUAUAGAUAGAGAGAGAGAGAGAAAGCAGUGUAUGAUGGUGUUAUUCACGGUUUCCGGCAUGCACCUGGAGGUCUUGGCACCUAUACUGCACCUGUAAGUAGGUGCCACUCUUC